rnacentral:rRNA from 1 species
UGCCAGCCGCCCGGUAAUACGGAGGGUGCAAGCGUUGCUCGGAAUUACUGGGCGUAAAGCGGGCGCAGGCGGUUCGAUAAGUCGGAUGUGAAAUCCCGGGGCUCAACUCCGGAACUGCAUCCGAAACUGGCGAACUUGAGUACGAGAGAGGAAGGCGGAAUUCCUGGUGUAGAGGUGAAAUUCGUAGAUAUCAGGAGGAACAUCCGUGGCGAAGGCGGCUUUCUGGCUCGAUACUGACGCUCAUGCCCGAAAGCGUGGGGAGCAAACAGGAUUAGAUA